UUUUCUUCUUCUUCUUCUUUCUUCUUCUUCUUCUUCCUCUUCUUCAACAGGUGUGAAAACUAAAGCUAAAGCCACAUAGCUAAAAAGAUCCAGGUUAAAUGCAAACAUUUCUCACUCUAUUUUUCCCAGUCAAAUAUCAUAAACUUCCUUCCCUUUAAUUACAUUCUUUCAUCCUAAUCCAUCCAUUCAACCAUCCAUCUUUUCAUCUUUCCUUUCUCCUUCCUUCACUCUUUUCCUGUAACAAACACUCAGCAUUUAUGAUGCACCAAUUUCUAUGUGGGAUAGAAAAACAAAAUGAAUCAUGUUAUUAACCAUGAAAGAUAAAAUAUACUUUGUUUUUUCAUAUUACAUUUUAAUAUUUUACAGAUAAUUUGUACAUAAUUAAUUUUACACUGAUGUAUAUUUUUUUUAAUUUUUAUUUAUUUAUGAUAGUCAUCAGAGAGAGAGAGAGAGGCAGAGACACAGGCAGAGGGAGAAGCAGGCUCCAUGCACCGGGAGCCCGACGUGGGAUUCGAUCCCGGGUCUCCAGGAUCGUGCCCCGGGCCAAAGGCAAGCGCCAAACCGCUGCGCCACCCAGGGAUCCCUACACUGAUGUAUAAUGUGUAUAAUGUACUUAAUGAAUGGAAGUAGAUGGUAUGUUAACAAAUUUUAUCAUGAGGAAAGAUAGUUUGAAGAUCAUUAUAUAAGCAAAACAAUAAGGAAUAAAACUACACGAAACUCAAAAAUAACUGACUUAUGUAUGAGUCCUUAAAAUGAAUGAUUUGUUUUUUACAGAGCUGAAAUAACUUUCAGAUAUACAAUUAGCCUUAAAAGUUGUUUGGCAUUUAAUGUAGCUGCACAAGUGGAGAAGCAAAGGAACCCAAAUAUCUUUCUUCUGCCCCAUCUUCCCUCUAACUCUUAGUAGCAUAUUCUUCCUUCUUAUGGUAUGUCAGUGGCUUUCAGAAGUGAGAAGAAAUAUCUGAUGCUUUUUGCCAGGUGUUUGAAUAUUUCAUGGUGUAUGACCAUGGAUGUUCUUGGGUGAAUGUAGGAAAAAGGCGCUUGCAACCCUGUAGAGAUUACUUAACCUAUCCAGAAAUAAUGACCCUUUAAAUGAACAGCAAUUGAAUUUUUUUGUUAAUGGCUCAUUGGGGUUCUUAGGUAGUAUUUCAUAUAUUUUAGUCAUCAUAGAAUAUUUUACACAUUUUGCCAUUCUAAUUUAUGAAUUUAGUAGAGCACCCAGAAGAUAUAAUGAAAUGCUGUAUUAUUUCUGCCUUCAUAAUAAACACAGGACAAAUUUCAAAUAGCUAAAAAUAAUUUAGAUGUGAAUAGCUCCAUCAGUUUAUUAAACUAAAAAAAUAUAAGCCUUUCCGCAGCCUACUCCAUUUAAAAUUAGUCCUUUUAGAUGGACUAAGAAUUAAAUUGACACGAGACAGAUUAACAGAAGAAAAUCAAGUUUAAUAGGCAUAGGAAUCCACAUAGACAUGGAAAUUCCAAAGACAGGCAAAAUGAGGUCUACAUGUCACUCUGAACUAAAGAGAAGGUGAUAGUGGCUGGGACUUCAGAGGAAAGGAAGGUACUCCACAGCACUAUAAGAAGAGCAGAUGUUUGGUAAUGAGAUGUUCGCCCUGCCAUACAGAUGGGUCACUUAGAUAAAAUGUAUCUCUGCUAAUAACCCUUAUCUGUGAAAGACCCCCAAUUUAGAUUCUUUUAUGUAGAUAAGGGAGAGGCAAAAGUUUCUCUAGAGCCCACAAGGUCUCAAGUUCCUUCAAGUUCAAAAUAAUCCACCUGCUAAAUUGGCACAUUCUGGAGAGAAGGCACUGUUGUGAACUCUUUCAUAAUCACACAAAUAAUGUUGUGCUUAAUAACCUGUAGAUAACAUUUGUUACAAUUUGUAGAGAUAGUCAACAGAUGCUGGCAGAGAUAUUUUUUAGGUGUCUCUGCCCAUGUUGACUUUGUAAUCUAUAAAGCUAUGUAAAAUCUGCCUUUAAAAAGGUGGUUUGUAAUAGGGGUGUCUGGCUGGCUUAGUCAGUAGAGCACAUGACUCAAUCUCAGGAUGGUGAGUUCAAGCCUCAUGUAGGGCACGAAGCCUUAAAAUAAUAUAUAUAAAUAUAUAGAAUAUUUAAAAAUGGAAUUGUGAUAAUAUUUGUCAACUACACUAAUGAAGUUCUUCUUGCAUAUUUAAAAGUAAUGGAGAUGUUUAUAAAUAUCCAUGUGAUAAUUAUAGACAAUAUGCAUUCAUAUGAUACUAAUGCCAGACUUUUCACAUACAUAUUCUUUCAUUUAAUUUAGUCCUGUCAGCUAUGUUCUAAAGAGGAAGAUAGGACUUUUACUCCAGUAUACAGAUGAGGAAACAGAGUAGGAAACUUAAGUAACAUGUAUGAAGCCACAAAUCCAAUAAGUGGUGAAGCCAGGAUUUAAAAGCAGGAACUGAUUCCAGGAUCCUUAUUCUUAAUCACUUCACUAUAUUAUAUAAAAGAAUCAUCGUGAUUUCUAAGAUUUCAUAUACUUGUCUGACAAUGUGUAGACACUGUUUUUUGCCUCAUCAUAUGAAUUAGGUGUUGCAGUCAGUAUAUGACUUGGAGAAAGAAUCACCUAGUAAAGCAAGCUUGUUCUUAAUUCUUGUUUCUGACUUCUGAGAAAUAUGAGUAUGUCAUGAAGCACAAUGUUUCUAAUAGAGAAUCUGACUAGCUGAAGUUUGAGGGUGCAAAGAGCGUCAACCAGAUAAAACACCUACAGGAGGGUAACCUCUUUUAUUAGCUGCUAGAAAGAAAAACAAACAAACUAAUGAAUAAAAGAUCACCUAAUUCUUAGUCUUUUUUAAUAGUUUGCUUUAUAAACAGAAUUAUGAAUAACCAUAGCUACAACAUCCAUCUUUGAAAAGAGUUCCACACCCAGAAGGAAAAGCUAGCCUCCUCCCAAGAGUAAUUGUGAUUCCGUUAAGUCCACAGGAACAUAAUAUUGAUCCAAAAACUCACUUCUCUAUCGGGAGUCUUUGAAAAGGAUUUAAUGAGCCAUAUUCUCCUUGUGUAUGGGCUAUGUCUUGGGAAUAAAUUAAGCUCUUUUGCAAGCUGAAUUAACUCUUUCAAGCCACUUGAGUAUUAUUUAGUGCACCGAAGCAAUGCUUUACAGACAAUCUGUCUUAAAAUGUAUAAGUUGUUGAACCUUGGAAAUUUUACAUAGGUAUUCAGUGUGGGAUUAUUAUUUCUGGUUAUAAAAAUAAGUGAAUUUGUGUUAGAUGGAGAAUUAUAAGCAGAGGCAGAAAUAUAAUAUUUAUAAAAUAUGAGGUAAUAAAGAGAUAAAAAGGCACUCAAUUGGAUGUCAGGACAGCUGGUUCCUGGCUCCAUCUCUAUCCCCAGAUAUAUUACUUUGGUGAACUUCCUAGAGUUUCUUAAAUUUCUGAGAUCCUGCAUUUGAGUCAGAAAGAUCUAGAAGGUUUUACAAUAAUUAUAAGUGUUAGUAGUUAGUUGGAGAGUUAGGUAAUCGGGCCAAGGUCCCCAACAAGAAAAUAUGUAGUCAGGACAGCUAAAAUAAAACAACACUGAUAUCCUGUUGUAAAACAGUUUAGACAGGACUGCACUGACAUUAUGCUUUGCAGUCUUUGCAGAAAGGACUUCUGCAAAAUGUCCUAAAAUAAGACAAUGAACCACAGAAGCAUUUGUCAAUAUCAUAGGCAAUGGGCAGUUAAAAACCUAAGUCCCCAAAUGUCAGAAAAAAAAAAAAAAAAGACCAUCAGCACAUGGACAUUAACCUAAUAACUAGACAGAUAAGCUCUGAUUGGCAUGACUCAGCAUUCCCUGUUUGCUUAAGAAAGUUCCUCAAAAGAGCUCAUAAUAGCCCCUAAACUCAGAAACUCUGGGGACA
rnacentral:lncRNA from 1 species